UGAAAGUUAUAUAGUAGGCUUUCAUCUUCAG
rnacentral:piRNA from 1 species